rnacentral:misc_RNA from 1 species
UGUAGGAGUGAGCCUGCUCGCGAUAGCGGUGUGUCAGUCAGCAUUAAUUUCUCUGACAGAUAGCUAUCGCGAGCAGGCUCACUCCUACA